GAUGAACGCUGGCGGCGUGCCUAAUACAUGCAAGUCGAGCGAACAGACGAGAGUGCUUGCUCUCUCUGACGUUAGCGGCGGACGGGUGAGUAACACGUGGGAACCCUACCUAUAAGACUGGGAUAACUUCGGGAAACCGGCGCUAAUCCCGGAUAAUAUUUAGCUUCGCAUGUAGAAAUAGUGAAAGACGGUUCUGCUGACACAUAUAGAUGGACCCGCGGUGUAUUAGCUAGUUGGUGAGGUAACGGCUCACCAAGGCAACGAUACAUAGCCGACCUGAGAGGGUGAUCGGCCACACUGGAACUGAGACACGGCCCAGACUCCUACGGGAGGCAGCAGUAGGGAAUCUUCCGCAAUGGGCGAAAGUCUGACGGAGCAAUGCCGCGUGAGUGAAGAAGGUCUUCGGAUCGUAAAACUCUGUUGUAAGGGAAGAACAAGUACGUUAGUAACUGAACGUACCUUGACGGUACCUUACCAGAAAGCCACGGCUAACUACGUG
rnacentral:rRNA from 1 species